rnacentral:lncRNA from 1 species
AUGAACUCUUCCAACCAUUCCACUGUCCUCUCUGGCUAUCUGGAGCCAGUUUAUACUUUAAAAACAGCCUGCUAUGCAGUCAACCUCAUCCUGAGUCUACCCACCAAUGUCUACGUCCUGUGGCUGAUACUGACCGGAGCCGGAGGGACUGUGGCCUCAGAGUUCUUCACUCUCAACUUGGCUGUAUCUGAGAUGCUCUACUGCAUGUGCGCUGUCUUUGUCUUUGUCUACAUUCACCUCCCUAUUCCCCCUAUCCUAGCUCUACUUACAUUCUUCAGUGGUUUUAUGUUCCACGGCCGCCCCCUGUUCCAGUGCUGUAUAUGUUUUGAGCGCUACCUGGCAGUUGUCCACCCUGUGUUCUUCUUGAAGUACAGACCCCUGAGAUACAAGGUGUGGUGUUCUGGAUUGGUUUGGCUGGUUUUGAUUGGGUUCUGUUUUACUUUUUUGAUUGUAAAAGACCACCAAAUUGUCAUAUGUUAUGUGUUUUGGGGUGAAAUUCUGGUCUUAAUUUCCUUGAUGUUAUUCUGCUGCCUCUCAGUUCUCAGGGCUCUGAAACAUCCUGGGCCGGGAGAAGGGGCAACGGGGCGGGGAAUGAAUGACAUGAAGAUGAGGGCGUUUAAGAUCCUUUUCAUUAUCUUGGUGUCUAUGAUGGCAAACUACCUCCCAUGGCUAGUGGUUUUACCUUUCAAUGGAAUCUUAGAUUUGCGGCAGUUUUUUCAUGCCACAUAUAUUUGUCUCUUCAUCAGUGUGGUCAGUGGAGUUGUGCAGCCCCUCCUCUACCUCCACAGGGCUGGAAAACUGCCCUUCAUCAAAGGUCUCUGAGGGAGAGUUUAUAUUCCCAGUUUAAUCUGAUACAGAGGGCCAAUUGUAACCUGUUUACAACUGUUUUGUGAUUGCUUGUAAAGAGGUUGGUAGUUGUAGAUGCGCUGGCAAAAAUAUGUAUGUGUUUAGGGUUGCAAUAUUCUGGUAACUUGACCUAAAAGGUUCUCCAGAAAUCCUGUUUAGAAGAUUCUAGUAAUCAGUUGGGAAUUACAAGGAAAUCCAGAAUUUUGCAUCCCUAGGGUUGAUUCAUUCCCUUUUAUCUGGGAAGAUUAUUUAUCAAUCUUCUUGCUUGUCUUUCACAAUGCAUCUUUGUG